AAAAAAAUUAUAAUUUUCCGUUCUUCAAAUGGGUUGAUUUGUGACAUUACAGCUUCCUGGACCCGGGAAACAAAAGGGAUAUAAUAUAAACUUGGACCUCAAAAGAGACCAGAGACCAGCAGCAGCAGCAGCAGCAUCCGCAGCGAAGCGUGUCCAGCAUCCGCAUUAACAUCCGCCAAUUCGCCACCAAAAUCUCAAAUAGUUCUCAAACCUCAAAAAAAAAAGAAAAACAACAACAAAAAACUAGAGAAAGUCGAAUCAAUUGA
rnacentral:sRNA from 1 species